AGCAAUGAAGACCUUUUAUCCUAUAUUACUGUCUGAAACAACUUUGGCCUUAACUACAUGAGUGCCUAAUUGAGUGAUCAUCAAUCUGGUGCCAUUACACAAUCCAAAAAAUUGGUCUAUAUUUUUUAACAAUAUUAUAGGGACCCCACAUUUGAGCUUUAGACAAUGAGUUGGAAGACCGAAAUAUUUAAUACUAUUCAAGAAUUCAGGUGUGUGAAUAUCAUCAGGGGUAUUAU
rnacentral:lncRNA from 1 species